GUGGGGAAUUUUGGACAAUGGGCGAAAGCCUGAUCCAGCAAUGCCGCGUGUGUGAAGAAGGCCUUCGGGUUGUAAAGCACUUUUGGCAGGAAAGAAAUAGUGCGUGCUAAUACCAUGCGCGAAUGACGGUACCUGCAGAAUAAGCACCGGCUAACUACGUGCCAGCAGCCGCGGUAAGACGUAGGGUGCAAGCGUUAAUCGGAAUUACUGGGCGUAAAGCGUGCGCAGGCGGUUUUGUAAGACAGGUGUUAAAUCCCCGGGCUCAACCUGGGAACUGCACUUGUGACUGCAAGGCUAGAGUGUGUCAGAGGGAGGUGGAAUUCCGCGUGUAGCAGUGAAAUGCGUAGAGAUGCGGAGGAACACCGAUGGCGAAGGCAGCCUCCUGGGAUAACACUGACGCUCAGGCACGAAAGCGUGGGGAGCAAACAGGAUUAGAAACCCGUGUAGUCC
rnacentral:rRNA from 1 species